AGCAGCCGCGGUAAUUCCAGCUCCAAUAGCGUAUAUUAAAGUUGUUGUGGUUAAAAAGCUCGUAGUUGAACCUUGGGCCUGGCUGGCCGGUCCGCCUCACCGCGUGUACUGGUCCGGCCGGGCCUUUCCCUCUGUGGAACCCCAUGCCCUUCACUGGGUGUGGCGGGGAAACAGGACUUUUACUGUGAAAAAAUUAGAGUGCUCCAGGCAGGCCUAUGCUCGAAUACAUUUGCAUGGAAUAAUAGAAUAGGACGUGUGGUUCUAUUUUGUUGGUUUCUAGGACCGCCGUAAUGAUUAAUAGGGACAGUCGGGGGCAUCAGUAUUCAAUUGUCAGAGGUGAAAUUCUUGGAUUUAUUGAAGACUAACUACUGCGAAAGCAUUUGCCAAGGAUGUUUUCAUUAAUCAGGAACGAAAGUUAGGGGAUCGAAGACGAUCAGAUACCGUCGUAGUCUUAACCAUAAACUAUGCCGACUAGGGAUCGGACGGUGUUAUUUUUGACCCGUUCG
rnacentral:rRNA from 1 species